GGGGACUUGGCCUCAGUAGUUGAUCCAUCCAACUGCUCAUGAUAAAUUUCAGUAAACAGGCUAGGGGGAGCAACAACACCACUUUCUAGUAAUACAUCAUGAAGUUUCUGGGCUAACUGUGGAUUCUCUUUGGCAGCAUCAAUCAUGUAUUGCGAAACAUCUUUCACUUUCAUUCUACGUACGGCAGGAGAGCUAACACCUUCAGUCCAUGAAGGACAUCUUGCAUGUGCAAAAGGAUAAUUAGGCCUGCUAGGACCCUCCCGCACCAGCACCUUCUCUGCAUUGGAAGGGUUCUUAAAAUCAUCUAAGGACGUCUUGGCUUCUUCUUCACCUUUAAUUAUCCUGGUCAAAUUUGCAAAUUCAUUAAAUUCACACCUGUCCUCAGAUUGGUUUCCUGCAGCAGAAACAUUCCUGAAUCUGGAUCUCUUCUCCAAGGUCCCAGCAUCUGAAUGUUCUUCAAAUG
rnacentral:misc_RNA from 1 species